GAGUGAGUCAUUUUGGCCACAGUGGAGAACUUGUGAUGGGAUGGUGGGUACAAGGAAAUCAGGCUGUAGCUAGAUCAUGGAUGCCAGGGUGGGGGAAAUUGGCCUUCACCUUAGAGGUGACGGGGACAGGGGGCUCUGACUGUUUCUGAGAAAGAGAAGGCCAUCCUCAGAGCUGGACUAUGCGAAGGUCACUCCGUCAGCUUGAAUAUAGGCAAGAGGCCCAGAGACCUGCUGGAGCCUCUCCGUGGUCUAGGUCAGGGGUGCGGAGGCCCACUCUGGGCAGUGAAAAUGCAGAUGUAAGGAGAUCCCACAGGUAUGAAGGGGGUAGAAUCAACAAGACUUGGCAACUAACUAGAAGGGGCAGGGGUGAGGGAGGACCCAAGCCUGACUCCCAGAUGCCAGCUUGGGCAAUGCGGUGGUUGAAUAGAGGCCAAGGAUGGAGGUGGUGUGGGGAGGAAGAUGGCGGGGGCUGGGGCAGCUCUGAACACACCUUGCCUGAAGAGCCCAUGGGCCACCUGCACCGGCACUUGCCUCUAUAAGUCCGGACUUGGAGAUGGGUCUCGGGAUCGGGAUCGGGGACAGGUAUUUGACAACGUUUAUAGCCCUGAGUUUGGCUGGCUUGUUGAGGAGACAGGCGAAGGAGAGGAGGUGGGGCAGGUAUGCCGGCUGCUGCUCUCUUUGGCCUCAGCCCUGGGACAAGCUUGUCCAUCUCCUCUGCUACCCUCCCCCUCUUCUCCUCAUCUUACUUCCUUCUGGCUCUUACUUAGCUGCGUCAUUUUAGGGAACUUGGAAACCAGGCCUGGUGUCUUUAACUUACAAAAUUAUACACUCCAAUGAGCCGGAAAGGGGCUUUUGGAAUAAUUCUAUUGAAAAUAUGUGGGUUUUCGCCUUGAAAUGAUCUUCCUGAAAUUAUCCCCUUUCUCUCUUUAUAAAUAUUAAAAAGAAGGAAUCUGAGCUUACUGCUUUAAAUCUCUAUUCAGGGACUUUUUCUUCUGCCUCCCAGGAAAGCAACCAGUCAUUUCUGAGGAAGAAAAGGACGAGGCUGGCGCCGUUUCCUUUAACAUAUCAAUCCCACCCCGCUUCUGAAAUCCACUUUCGGGAAUACCCCUGACCAAUCCCUCCUUGUUCCCCCCUACAGCUAAGCCGGGAUUUGCUGGAAUAUUGUGUGUCAGUGUGGGGGUGUGACAGAGGAGCCACUCCAGGAAGGGUGGCAAGGGGAAGGUGAGGAAGGCUAGAGAGACAGGCAGAGAGAGAAGGGGAGAAGCAGCGACAGGGAUGAAGGGGAGACAGAGACAGCAACAGCGACAGAGAGACAGAAACGAGAGAUAUGCAGAGAGAUACGAAGAGACAGAGAAAGAGACAGAGGGACAGAAAGAGAGAGAAAAACAGAGAGGAAGACAGAAAGAGACAGAGAAGCAGAAAGAGACAGAGACAAGGACAAAGGGAGGGAGAUAGAGUGACAGAGGGAUGGAGAGAGGCAGGGAGAAAGAGAGAGAGAGAGAGAGAGAAAGAGGGAGAGAGAGAGACAAGGCACAUACACACCCACACACACCCAGAAAGAGAGGCAGGAGGGAAAGCAAGGGAGGAUAGAGCAGAGACAGAGGGAGAGGGAGAUAAUGCUAGGGAGAAAGGGAGAGAUGUGUAAGAAUAGAGAGGGAGAGAUGGGCUGGGGGAAGAGACAUGGAGACACUGAAACCCUGGAUACUGAGGAUUAAAGGAGAGACAGAAUAUUGUGGGGGGAGAGGUGGGAGGGAGAGACAGAGAGAGAGAGAGAGAGAGAGAGACAGAACAAGCAUGCUGAGGAGAGAGAAAGUAGCACACAGAUGCAGAGAGACAAAAAGGGAAGACAUAGGAAUAGAGAAAUGGGGAGGGCUGGGGAAGAGACAGAGCUAGAGGCAGAAAAUGAUAGAGAGAGAGAGGCCCACAGAAUGGAGACGAUGCAGAUUGACAGAUGGGGUAGAAAAGAGCCAGAUAAAUUGCAAGUCAGGAAGGAGGCAGGGGAGAGAGGCUGACACGGAGGGGUGGAUGAGGAGACCUGGUGGGCUCUGCAGCCUGCGUGCAGGUGCGAGUGUGUGGCUUGUGAGCACAAUGGCCUCCAAUGGAGGGAAGCCCCUUGUUCCCAGCCCGGUCCCUCUGCUGCCUUCCUCAGUGCCUGAGAGUGGGGUGAAGCAUUGCCUGCCUUUGAUGCACAGAGGGUGGGGCAGAGCAGACCAGUUAACAGAGUGUGGUUUAGAAGACAGGCAACCCCGAGUUCAAGCAUCAGCUCUGCCAAUCCCUGCCAACCCCCUUGGGGCCCUUACUCAGUCUUUUGGAGCCUUGGCUUUCUUGUCUGGAAAAUGGGGCUAACAAUGCCUAUCUACAUCAUAGGGUCGCCACGGUGCCUACAGGAGGCCUCACUGCAAAGGGCUUGGCACAGCACCUGAGUCAGCUGCUAUGGUCCAACCUGGAGUGUAGGGUGGACUGUAGUCCUUCUGUGAUCUCAUAAUCCACCAGCAGACCCCUGCUGUGUACCCCUCUGUGUACUCCUGCUGUGUACCUGGAGACCCCCAGGUCUCCAGGGGUCAAACCACACCCCACAGGCACCUUGGAAGAAGAAAUCCACAGGAGGAAAAAAAGAAUUUUUUUCAGUGCAGGGUUGGAGGCCAGAGCAGAGAUGGCCACUUUUUCCCAUGGCUGAGUCUAUGCCAGACAUUGCUCAUCAAUUGCCCUUCCCCACGGAGCUUGGAUGAGCCCCAAGAAGUCUUUUCAACACCGUGCUCUGGGUAUCUACUGCCAAUUGCAUUUGGCAUGCAAAGUGAGACCUGCUUCCCGUCCUGAGAGAAGAUCAUCUCUGAGGCACCAAUAUGAAGUGGGGAUGCAAUAAAUAUUUUUUGGAUGAA